UCUGAGUCUGACUAUUGAAAAUGAAACUGCUUCUCUCCUCUGCUGUGUAUAAUGCUUACCUGCUGAAUUAAAGUGAAAAUGAGGUCUGUUUCUGAACUCCUGAGUUGUUGUUCUGCUCUGAACCUGUAACAUGUCUGAUUCUGUUUGAGUUUGCUCCAUGCUGGAGAAAUCUACAACUGGUAUUGUAAAAUUUACUUUAUGUGUUUAUAAAGAAGUUAAAUGAAGUCUCAGCCACCUGUGUUUACCUUUCUGGCGCUGAACUUAUGCUGCAAUACUCUGAACAAGAACUAUUUUGACAGAUCAAGUUGA